rnacentral:rRNA from 1 species
AUUGAACGCUGGCGGCAGGCUUAACACAUGCAAGUCGAACGAGUGGCGGACGGGUGAGUAAUGCUUGGGAAUCUAGCUUAUGGAGGGGGAUAACUACGGGAAACUGUAGCUAAUACCGCGUACCAUCGGAUGUGCCCAAGUGGGAUUAGCUGGUUGGAGGGGUAAAGGCCCACCAAGGCGACGAUCAGUAGCGGGUCUGAGAGGAUGAUCCGCCACACUGGAACUGAGACACGGUCCAGACUCCUACGGGAGGCAGCAGUGGGGAAUUUUGGACAAUGGGCGCAAGCCUGAUCCAGCCAUGCCGCGUGUCUGAAGAAGGCCUUCGGGUUGUAAAGGACUUUUGUCAGGGAGGCGGUACCUGAAGAAUAAGCACCGGCUAACUACGUGCCAGCAGCCGCGGUAAUUC